GUGCUCACUUCUGCAGCACAUAUACUAAAAUUAGAAUGAUACAGGGAAUAGCAUAGCCCCUAUGCAAGAAUGACACACAAAUUCAUGAAGAAUUUCAUAUUUUU
ensembl:snRNA U6 U6 spliceosomal RNA